rnacentral:pre_miRNA from 1 species
AGGAGGAACAACCGCAGUGGCGGGGCCAGCUCUGCAGCCCUGGAGUCAGCCCCCGCAGUAGCUCCGGAGCUCUCGGUCUGCAGGGCCUGGAGGCUCCGGGGCGGG